rnacentral:rRNA from 1 species
UACGUAGGGUGCGAGCGUUAAUCGGAAUUACUGGGCGUAAAGCGUGCGUAGGCGGUUUGCCGUGUCCUGUGUGAAAGCCCCGGGCUCAACCUGGGAAUUGCAUGGGAAACUGGCAGGCUUGAGUGUGGCAGAGGAGACUGGAAUUCCUGGUGUAGCGGUGAAAUGCGCAGAUAUCAGGAGGAACACCGGUGGCGAAGGCGGGUCUCUGGGCCGAUACUGACGCUGAGGAGCGAAAGCGUGGGUAGCAAACAGG